rnacentral:snRNA from 14 species
AUACUUACCUGGCGCGGGGAUACCGUGAUCAAGAAGGCGGUGCCUCCAGGACGAGGCCUGUACAUUGCACUCCGUAUGGGCUGACUCCUGCGACUACCCAAAUCGGGUGGCUCGAGCGCAUAAUUUUUGGUAGUGGGGACAAGCGUUCGCGCUGUCCCUUU